rnacentral:lncRNA from 1 species
GAGAAAAUAUAUAUAUAUAUAUAUAUAUAUAUAGAGAGAGAGAGAGAGAGAGAGAGAGAGAGAGAGAGAAUUUCUACUUCCAAAUUAACCAGAAGCUCCUUUUAGUAGAAAACAAAAUUCAAAAAAUAAAAGCACUAUAUCCUCUCACCCUCUCCAAACACCAAACUAAAGAAAAAGAGAUAGAGAGAUAGCAUAUCAAUAUAGAAAAGAACAAUUCUUUCUUUUAUCCAUGAUUUGUAAAUCAACCCUCGUAAUAAAAUUACAAAUCCAUCAUCAAAAAAGGAAAGGAAAAAAAAACUCCUUUUGGGUAUUGGAAAUCGUAGCAGCAUGAAACCAAACACAUGCAUAUGACACAUAUAAGAGCCUGUUGCUGUCUCUCUGUGUGUGUAUACAUACAUACAUAGAGAGAGAGCAAACACAGACAAAGUUAAGAUUAUUCAAUAUUGCAUCUCUGGGAACAACAUUAUAUGUCAAUUUAAGUACAACUACUAAAAAGAUGAGCCGAACUACUCCUGCUGGUUUCAGUACCAACUGAACAACUUCAAAGCGAAGAAACAAACUGAAUUUCCAAUUAUUUCUUUUCCCUCAACCUUCUUAGCAACCAAACAGCGUUUCAGAAAAAAAAUAACCACAAACACAAACAAUAAUUGGAAAGAAACCCAAAAAAGGAAAAAAAAUUUGCAAACCUUUAUUAAUGGUUUGAAGUCAAAGCAACAUAAGGGAGAGUUUCCCGCCUCCACAGGAAGCAAAACCAGAGGCAAAAAAUGCAACUCUC